UGAUGGGGUGACGCAGCAAGGUAGCCAAGCCGCUUAUUGGAUUGCGGUGCAAGCGUGUGGCACGACAGCAUGUCAAAUGCGGCUGUCAAUAGUGUGAGGCGUGAUGCGUAGCCCGUAUUGGGUGAUGUUGGUAAUCCUCUACUGCCGAGAAAAGCCUCUAGCGAUGUGUGUAUACGGCCCGUACCCGAAACCGACACAGGUAGUCAAGUAGAGAAUACUCAGGCGGUCGGGAGAACUGUGGUUAAGGAACUCGGCAAAUUACCCCCGUAACUUCGGGAGAAGGGGGACCCAAACUGGUGCCCGAUCAUACGAUCGUGGUUGCUGGCGUGGGUCGCAGAGAAUAGAGGGGAGCGACUGUUUAUCAAAAACACAGGUCCGUGCGAAGACGA
rnacentral:rRNA from 1 species